GGCUUAGAAGCAGCCAUCCUUGAAAGAGUGCGUAAUAGCUCACUGGUCAAGUGAUCGUGCGCCGACAAUGUAGCGGGGCUCAAGCACACCGCCGAAGCCGCGGACCCACAACAGUGUUCCCUUCACUGUCCGGCCUCGUCCGGGUGGUGGCAGGGGUUGUGGGUGGUAGGGGAGCGUCCUGCACCGGGGGAAGCCUGUGGGUGACUGCUGGUGGACGGUGCGGGAGUGAGAAUGCAGGCAUGAGUAGCGAUACUAGGGUGAGAAGCCCUAGCGCCGAAUGACCAAGGGUUCCAGGGCCAGGCUAGUCCGCCCUGGGUGAGUCGGGACCUAAGGCGAGGCCGACAGGCGUAGUCGAUGGAUGACGGGUUGAUAUUCCCGUACCGGCGAAGCACCGCCCAUGCUGACGCGCGGGUGCUAACCCACGCCCAGCCACCAAGUUCAGCCGCGCCUACUCCUUUCGGGGGGUGGUGUGGUUGUGGUGGUGGGGUCUGGGGAUCCUCCGUGCAGGUAGGCAAGCGUGUUAACAGGGGUGACGCACAGUGGUAGCCCGGCGGACCUGAUGGCUUGGUCCGUUCAAGCGCGCAGCCCGUCCUCCAGGUAAAUCCGGAGUGACUGUCUUUGAUGACGGGGGUGAGGCGUGAUGGUGACCCCACGCUGGUGGGGGAUAACAGGGUGAUCCUGGGGUGCCGAGAAAAGCCUCGACGCGAUGGUGCCAGCCGCCCGUACCCUAAACCGACACAGGUGGUCGGGCAGAGUAUGCCUAGGCGCACGAGUGAAUCAUGGUUAAGGAACUCGGCAAAAUGCCCCCGUAACUUCGGGAGAAGGGGGGCCUGAUCCCUGAAGCCCCAUCGCGGGCUAGGGGGGAGGGUCGCAGAGGCCAGGGGGAAGCGACUGUUUACUAAAAACACAGGUCCGUGCGAAGCCGUAAGGCGAUGUAUACGGACUGACGCCUGCCCGGUGCUGGAAGGUUAAGAGGAACCAUCAACCCCCUCGGGGGUGAAGUGGUGAAUUUAAGCCCCAGUAAACGGCGGUGGUAACUAUAACCAUCCUAAGGUAGCGAAAUUCCUUGUCGGGUAAGUUCCGACCUGCACGAAUGGCGUAACGACUUCCCCGCUGUCUCAACCAUGAGCUCGGCGAAAUUGCAGUACGAGUAAAGAUGCUCGUUUCGCGCAGAAGGACGGAAAGACCCCGGGACCUUUACUAUAGCUUGGUAUUGGCGCCCGCUAUAGCUUGUGCAGGAUAGGUGGGAGACUGUGAAGCCGUUACGCCAGUGGCGGUGGAGUCGUCCUUGAAAUACCACUCUGGUUAUGGCGUGCGCCUGAACCUGGGCCCGUGAUCCGGGUUAGGGACAGUGCCUGGUGGGUAGUUUAACUGGGGCGGUUGCCUCCUAAAGUGUAACGGAGGCGCUCAAAGGUUCCCUCAGCCUGGUCGGCAACCAGGUGUUGAGUGCAAGUGCACAAGGGAGCUUGACUGUGAGACCGACGGGUCGAGCAGGUACGAAAGUAGGAACUAGUGAUCCGGCGAUCCCGUGUGGGUGGGUCGUCGCUCAACGGAUAAAAGGUACCCCGGGGAUAACAGGCUGAUCCUGCCCAAGAGUCCAUAUCGACGGCAUGGUUUGGCACCUCGAUGUCGGCUCGUCGCAUCCUGGGGCUGGAGCAGGUCCCAAGGGUUGGGCUGUUCGCCCAUUAAAGCGGUACGCGAGCUGGGUUUAGAACGUCGUGAGACAGUUCGGUCCCUAUCCUCUGCGCGCGUUGGAAACUUGAGAAGGGCUGUCCCUAGUACGAGAGGACCGGGACGGACGAACCUCUGGUGUGCCAGUUAUCCUGCCAGGGGUAUGGCUGGUUUGCUACGUUCGGGAUGGGUAACCGCUGAAAGCAUCUAAGCGGGAAACUAGCUUCGAGAUUAGGUUUCCGUCCCAUUUUGUUUGGGGGGAGGUUCCCGGUAGAUUACCGGGUUGAUAGGCUAGGAGUGUAGACAUUGUAAGGUGACCAGCUUACUAGUACUAAUUGACCGAUAACUAACAAUA
rnacentral:rRNA from 1 species